AUUGAACGCUGGCGGAAUGCUUUACACAUGCAAGUCGAACGGCAGCACGGACUUCGGUCUGGUGGCGAGUGGCGAACGGGUGAGUAAUGUAUCGGAACGUGCCCAGUCGUGGGGGAUAACGUAGUGAAAGUUACGCUAAUACCGCAUACGAUCUAUGGAUGAAAGCGGGGGAUCGCAAGACCUCGCGCGAUUGGAGCGGCCGAUAUCAGAUUAGGUAGUUGGUGGGGUAAAGGCCCACCAAGCCAACGAUCUGUAGCUGGUCUGAGAGGACGACCAGCCACACUGGAACUGAGACACGGUCCAGACUCCUACGGGAGGCAGCAGUGGGGAAUUUUGGACAAUGGGCGAAAGCCUGAUCCAGCCAUUCCGCGUGCAGGAUGAAGGCCCUCGGGUUGUAAACUGCUUUUGUACAGAACGGAAAGGUUUCUACUAAUACUAGGAGCUCAUGACGGUACUGUAAGAAUAAGCACCGGCUAACUACGUGCCAGCAGCCGCGGUAA
rnacentral:rRNA from 1 species